rnacentral:rRNA from 1 species
GUAGUCUCGCACAGAUGCAUAUCAAUAAGCGGAGGAAAAGAAACUAACAAGGAUUCCCCUAGUAACGGCGAGUGAAGCGGGAAGAGCUCAAAUUUGAAAUCUUAAAGGGUUUCCCUUUACGAAUUGUAGUUUAAAGAAGUGUUUUCUGUUGAGGUUUUGGUAAAAGUUCUUUGGAAUAGGACAUCAUAGAGGGUGAGAAUCCCGUAUUUGACCUUUACUUUCAACUUUGUGAUACACUUUCAAAGAGUCGGAUUGUUUGGGAAUGCAGUCCAAAAUGGGUGGUAAAUUUCAUCUAAAGCUAAAUAUUGGCGAGAGACCGAUAGCGAACAAGUACCGUGAGGGAAAGAUGAAAAGAACUUUGAAAAGAGAGUUAAACAGUACGUGAAAUUGUCAAAAGGGAAGCGUUUGACACCAGUGUUGUUUUUCUGAAAAUCAAUUAAAGAACUGUUUAUGCUAAGCUUGUUUAGACUUUAUCAGCUAACUGUUUAGUUUUGAGCUUUUCUUUAAUGCACUUUUCAGUUAACAAGUCAACAUCAAUUUCUUUUGCUGUAAAAAAGCUUGAGGAAGGUGGCUUGAGAUUCGUCUUAAGUGUUUAUAGCCUCUUGCCUAUGCAGUCGGAGAGAUUGAGGUCUGCAGCGUAGAUCCUUCGGGGCUAAAUGCAUUUGUGCUAAGUUAUAGCAUUUUAUAGACAACUUGUUGACUAUGAUUUGUCUUGUAGCUUACUCGCUUAUGUUAUUUUACCUACGCUUAGGAUGUUGAACUACUGAGACAUAGA